AAAUAGGAGAGGCUCGCUCGAGCAGUUCAUCAAGUUUGAAGCGCUCACAUAUACGAAAGAAAAAAAAAACUGCUUGUGUAACAUUUUCGUGCAACAGCCAACUCUUCCCGUUGGUAUCGCUUUACGUGCACACCAGUUAGUAAAAGUAAUUUAGCUGCCGACAGGAGGACGACGAGAUCCCCGAAAGAAAGAAAAGAGAUGCAUUCAUUAUGAAUACGAUACGGUUGUCUUUCCUGUUUUUCUCGACUGAAAAAUCUUGGCGUUCUGGAACGACGCCGACUUUUCUCUCUAUUUAAAUUUCUUGUAACUUUGUGUGUUAUUUCUUCUUCUUCCUUCUGAACACCGUCAAACCCAGCAGAGAGAGUUCUUGGACAGCGCAUGCGUCAAAGUCACCCAACAGGUUUUUUCUUUCUUUUUCUUUUGAUUCCAGGAGGGUAAAAUUCCUGCCUGUUUUUGUGUUGGCUGCUGGCUGCAGCUUUUACCUGAGAAAGGACUUGUUCCAGCGAGUUGCCUUUGGUACGGAUGAGUUCCUCGGAGAGACCCAUUUCUUCUCUGGCUUGCUCCGAAAGGACAUUCUCGUUGAUAUCAGCCGAACGUGGUUUAACCCAGUAGUCUUGCACGGUCACCACCUGUGGAAAAAUAAAAUAACAAACAAGAAAAAAGACCUGGUCAGUGAAUCUGUAACUCGGCAACUUGAUUACGAAACCAAUAAAAUGAAUUUUGAGAAAGAAAACUCGGCGGUUGUGCCGAGUGGGUA